GUCGAAAAAGGCAAACCGGGGGCAACCCCGGGACGCAAAGCCACGGGUCCUGUUCGCAACCCACAGGAUAGCCGGGUCGCCGAAA
rnacentral:ncRNA from 1 species